GGCAUGUUUGUCUGAGAAGGGUAAUGAUAGCAGUAAUACCUCAAUCUAUCGAGUCUUGAUUACUAUUAGGCUUUAGGGUUCUUCGGAAGACUAGAAUGAAGCUUAUUAAUAUAACCAUUAGCUCAGGCUUAACAUGUUGAUUUGUAGAGUUGUGGUUUCCUUCCAAAAUCUUAUUGUGGCGCCUGUACUUAAUCAAAUCUUCG
rnacentral:lncRNA from 1 species